rnacentral:rRNA from 1 species
GACGAACGCUGGCGGCGUGCUUAACACAUGCAAGUCGAACGGAAAGGCCCUGCUUGCAGGGUACUCGAGUGGCGAACGGGUGAGUAACACGUGGGUGAUCUGCCCUGCACUUCGGGAUAAGCCUGGGAAACUGGGUCUAAUACCGGAUAGGAGCCAUUUUUAGUGUGAUGGUUGGAAAGUUUUUUCGGUGUAGGAUGAGCUCGCGGCCUAUCAGCUUGGUGGUGGGGUAAUGGCCUACCAAGGCGGCGACGGGUAGCCGGCCUGAGAGGGUGGACGGCCACAUUGGGACUGAGGUACGGCCCAGACUCCUACGGGAGGCAGCGGUGGGGAAGAUUGCACAAGGGGCGCAAGGCUGAUGCAGCGACGCCGCGUGGGGGAUGACGGCCUUGGGGUUGUAAAAUCCUUUCGCUAGGGACGAAGCUUUUUGUGACGGUACCUAGAUAAGAAGCACCGGCUAACUACGUG